AGUUCGUGGGGUGACUUGUCUGCUUAAUUGCGAUAACGAGCGAGACCUUACUCUGCUAAAUAGCCAGGCUAACUUUGGUUGGUCGCCGGCUUCUUAGAGAGACUAUCAACUCAAGUUGAUGGAAGUUUGAGGCAAUAACAGGU
rnacentral:rRNA from 1 species